ensembl:lncRNA
CUCAUGCCCUACCCUCCAUCAACUGACUGCCUCACUGAAAAGCCUUCUGCCUCUGGAAGACUUGACUCUCUCUGCCAUUGCCUCCCCGAUGGGCUGUCUGCUCAUCUUCCCACUCCCUCUAGAAGUGGCCCUUCCCCAUUGCUGCUGAAAAACCAUGGCUCCUCAAGUCUCCUUUAAAACAAAACUGCCCUCCAGGCCUCCAGUUCGUUAACUAUUGGAUUGGGAAGGGAGGAGCUUUUCCAAUGGCUCAGCAGGCAGAUUCUUUAACACUGUGACACCUGUCGGCACUGCGACACUGGGAAGCCCUAUCCAGUUUUUUUAAGUUCCCUGACCAGGGAUCGAACCCACAUCCCCUGCCGUGGAAACUCAGAGUGUUGACCACUGGACAGCCAGGGAAGCCCCGCAUAUAGCCUGCCAUUUCAUCGUUCUAUUUCCUGCCAUUCUCAUCAUCCUGCAAAGUUUUCGACAUUAAACCACUCGUAAUUCUCUCAACAGAUUUCCUCCGCAGCUCUUUGCACAGACUCUCUGCAUGGAAUGUCUUCUGCUAAGUGUCCCAUUUACUUUCUCAAUGCCAUUUACUUAGUUCAAAGCCAGGCUCAGUCACCUCACAAAUAAAGACAUGGAAAUGUCAAUAACCAUAUGAAAAGGCAGUAACCCUAGUAGCAUCAACAGCACAACAAAGAGAUACCAUUUUGCCUAUCAGCU